GGCUACACAUGCAGUCGAGCGGAAACGAGUUAUCUGAACCUUCGGGGAACGAUAACGGCGUCGAGCGGCGGACGGGUGAGUAAUGCCUAGGAAAUUGCCCUGAUGUGGGGGAUAACCAUUGGAAACGAUGGCUAAUACCGCAUGAUGCCUACGGGCCAAAGAGGGGGACCUUCGGGCCUCUCGCGUCAGGAUAUGCCUAGGUGGGAUUAGCUAGUUGGUGAGGUAAGGGCUCACCAAGGCGACGAUCCCUAGCUGGUCUGAGAGGAUGAUCAGCCACACUGGAACUGAGACACGGUCCAGACUCCUACGGGAGGCAGCAGUGGGGAAUAUUGCACAAUGGGCGCAAGCCUGAUGCAGCCAUGCCGCGUGUGUGAAGAAGGCCUUCGGGUUGUAAAGCACUUUCAGUCGUGAGGAAGGUGGUGUAGUUAAUAGCUGCAUUAUUUGACGUUAGCGACAGAAGAAGCACCGGCUAACUCCGUGCCAGCAGCCGCGGUAAUACGGAGGGUGCGAGCGUUAAUCGGAAUUACUGGGCGUAAAGCGCAUGCAGGUGGUUUGUUAAGUCAGAUGUGAAAGCCCGGGGCUCAACCUCGGAAUAGCAUUUGAAACUGGCAGACUAGAGUACUGUAGAGGGGGGUAGAAUUUCAGGUGUAGCGGUGAAAUGCGUAGAGAUCUGAAGGAAUACCGGUGGCGAAGGCGGCCCCCUGGACAGAUACUGACACU
rnacentral:rRNA from 1 species